AUAAUACUCCAUAGAUUAGAGACACUGGAAUGUUCUUUAGUCGAAAGUUCUGGCGCCUUAGGAUGGAUCUGCGGUCGAUUAGGUUGUUGUUGGGGUAACGGCCCAACAAGCCUGUAAUCGAUACGGGUUGUGGGAGCAAGAGCCCGGAGAUGGAAUCUGAGACACGAUUCCAGGCCCUACGGGGCGCAGCAGGCGCGAAAACUUUACAAUGCAGGAAACUGUGAUAAGGGAACUCCGAGUGCCCGCAUACGCGGGCUGUCCAGGUGUUUAAAAAUCAUCUGAAGAAAGGGCCGGGCAAGACCGGUGCCAGCCGCCGCGGUAAUACCGGCGGCUCGAGUGGUGGCCACUAUUAUUGGGCUUAAAGCGUCCGUAGCUGGACCGAUAAGUCUCUUGGGAAAUCCGCCGGCUCAACCGGCGGGCGUCUAAGGGAUACUGUUAGUCUAGGGACCGGGAGAGGUGAGAGGUACUCCGGGGGUAGGAGUGAAAUCCUGUAAUCCCCGGGGGACCACCGAUGGCGAAGGCAUCUCACCAGAACGGCUCCGACAGUGAGGGACGAAAGCUGGGGGAGCGAACCGGAUUAGAUACCCGGGUAGUCCCAGCCGUAAACUAUGCGCGUUAGGUGU
rnacentral:rRNA from 1 species